AUCGCCUCAACCAUCGGCAGAGGCACCUUUUGGAGAAGAAGAAGAUGAUAUUAAAUCACUCUUCUGGACAUAUGAAGUAAUUAUAGCUCCAUUUGCAGUAGCCUAUGCCUAACCCUCAGCUGCUUCAACAACCCGCGCUGGUUUUGUGAAUUUCCGCAGCAAAUCAACCUCUCGAGGAGCGAGAACGAGUCGGAGAAGGUUCUGCGAUGCCUUGUGGACCUUCGAAGCAGAAAAAAGCAAAAUUAGAUGGUGCAACAAAGAAGCCAACCAAGAAAACAGAAGUGGAUGACGACUCGUGGAUGCCCGAAGGAUGGGUGAAGCGAGUAAACAAAAGGCUGUUGACUGGAAAAUUUCCCGGGUACGAAGACAAGGUAAUUUAGGGUAUACUAAUUGUUAUAUGUUUAUUAGUUUGUCGGGAAUUGCAUUAACUUUUCUACAUUCAAACGCAUAAAAACUCCAAAACAUUUUGAUAAAAUAUGUAUAUCUCUCAAGUAUGUGUAUGAGUAUCAUUUAGGGGUGGAUUCUGUAUGGUUGCCGA